rnacentral:lncRNA from 10 species
AGGAGCUAAUCUUGUAAACAAGCCUUUCCAAGGAUCGCAGUCAGGCCUGCUAUGCUGUCUCUUUUCUGCACACACCUCCACCCUUUCAAGGCCACUAGGAUCCUGCACUGUUAACCAGGACUUUCUCACGAACAUGGAUCUGCUUCUGGGGAAAGCAAAGACUGGAGAUGGAAAUUGCUGCUAUUGAAGAUGUGGAUGUGUGAUUGUGGACUAGGAAAUGCCUAAGGACCAGGUGUUAAUUCCAAGAGCACGUCCCAAUAAAUGCCCACAUGCCAAUCUCUGAUUCCAUCUGCUUUCCACAGAAUCCAACCUGCACCUGCAGACAGAGAGGAUUUGGACAGGGGUUAUAGCUACUCUUACAGAAGACAUAAGAAGAUAUAUACGCAGAGAAGACAUCAUAAGACCUGAAGAUGAAAAACUUCUGAUCACAGAAGAAAGAUAUACAACAGCCUUGAAGCAUUCUGAGAACCCAGUGAAGGCAAUAAUGUCUCUUCCCAGAGAAAUUCACAGGUAGCCCCUAGAAGCUUGGAACUGCCCUCAGACUACAGCCAGGAAGCAGACAGGGACUUCAGUUCCACAGCCACAAGGAGCUGAAUUCUGCCAACCAGAAUGAGCAAGAACAUGGAUUCUCCCCUCAAGCCUCCAGAAAAGAAUGCAGCCUACAGUCAGCACUUUAAGUCCCAUGCAACCUAUAAUAGAUUUCUGACCUACAGAGCUUUAAUGUCAUAAAUUGGUGUUGUUUUAAGUCAUGAAGUUUGUGGUAGCUUCUUAUGACAGUAAUUGAAAACUAAUACCUGGUCUUUUUAGCAGAAUAACGAGCACCCUGUAAUGUGUCAUUCAUGCAUAUCUUUUUUUUUUUUUUUUUUUUGGUGGGGGCAGGAAGACAAAACUCUAGAGUUUAAUCUUCCAGCUGACUGACUUGGAAGUGUUCCUGUCAAUAUAAAAGAUCUUGUUGGGGG